rnacentral:snRNA from 1 species
AGCUUUGCGCAGUGGCAGUAUCGCAGCCAAUGAGGUUUAUCCGAGGCGCGAUUAUUGCUAAUUGAAAGGCCAGAGGUCUGAAUGGCCGCUAGUCACAUGCUUUAUUUCUUUGCCUAAUAUUACAUUUUGUUUUGUUCAUCAGACUUGAAUGCUGCAGAAAAUAAACUCAUAGUCUUGCAGAAAGAAUGUUGGUAAAGUUUUACUUUAU